rnacentral:lncRNA from 1 species
CUCUGGCCUGCGAGAUGGCGAGGGCAAGUAGCGGGGCCGAUGCUCCCUUGGGAUCCGGGUGUGGCUCGGCUCAGGUAACGCCCGGCCCUAGGACUCCUUCGGCCUCCGCCCACGGGGAGUGCUGAGACUGCCGGCCGGUGUGCUGGCGACCUUUACCCAGGCUUGGUCAAGGCUUCCUGGCUGGCGCAACUGCACUGGCCUCGCAGUGGACGCCUGCUGGUGACCUUUACUCUGUUAAACCAUCUUCCUGCUCUCCCAGUGAGAGCCUCAAAGCUGGGGAAGGUACGCACAAGUGGCAGACAGGAUCACAUCUUACCCAGAGUCCCUGUUUUCUUCCCCUAGUGUUUGUAGAAAACGAGGAGGGUGUGCAGGCAAGCUUUAAGGGAGAAGCAGGAUUCGCCUGAGUAGAGGAUUCCCGGGAAUCCGCUAGACUUGGCAUCCCUUCUGACCAUAUUGGAAAUGGAAGUCUCCUUAGCAUACUUUCCUGGUGUACUUCAAAACGAACUCACAGACACUUUAAAUUCUGCCACUGGACGUUUUCUUCAUUACUCCCCUCUCCCAAAUUCAGAUGAAUGUCGGUCCAUUCCCUAUGUUCUGUCUAGCCUUGACAUAGUUUAUCGUGUGUUUAUAGAUGCCUGGUGUGUGCCGGGCCCUUCUCAGUAUGAACUCACAUAUUCUGGUUGAGCUUGUUUAUAUUCUACCACUUUUCCUUCCGCCAUCAGAUUAACAUGAGAUGUUAGAAGGCUGGUCUAAAGUCUCAAUAGAUCUCUUUCCAGCCACUGGUCCUAUCUGCUCAAAGAUGUCAGUUUGUGUGAGUAUAGUUGUUAGGUAUUCCCAGGGAUAGUUGAUUCCAGAACAAUCCCCAGAACCCAUACAGAAUUCCAUGGGUGUUUAAGUCCUUCACAUGAAAUGAUGUAAUAUUUGUAUAUAAUCUACACAAUCUCCCCAAUAUUUAAAUAAUUUCUAGAUUAUAACUUAUACUGCCAAAUGCAGUGCUGUAUGGUGUCACUUAGGGAAAAUGACAAAAACGCUAGUCAUUCUGUAUUGGUGAGAAUAUUGUAAGCCUAACUACAUAGUAUGUGAUGUGAUCUGCUGAUUUCUGAAGACAUGGAUAUGGGAACCAUAGAUAAGGAGGUCUGAUGUAUUUUCAUUGUUAUUAAACUGUCCUAGCUUUUGGGGGUACUCGUUCAGCAUUUAGACUUAGUCCUUAUGUAGGUUUAUUUUAAGUUAUUUGUAUAUAGGCUUAUUUAUCAAACUCUUAAAGUUUUUAAAGACCUGAUGUAGCAAAUCUGUAGACAUUCAAUAUGUCCUUAAAUCAAGUCCUGAUACUGCCUUCCUUAUUUCUCCAAAGAAAAAGUAGUUCUUACUGAAGUCAUUGUUCUCUCAAUAUCGUUUCUUUGUGGAACAGAAGAUACCAUUUUUCGUUUAUAAACGAGUUGGCUGUG